rnacentral:rRNA from 1 species
UGCCCUUUGUACACACCGCCCGUCGCUACUACCGAUUGAAUGAUUUAGUGAGGUCUUCGGACUGGUGCGCGGCAAUGUCUCGGCAUUGCCGAUGUUGCCGGGAAGAUGACCAAACUUGAUCAUUUAGAGGAAGUAAAAGUCGUAACAAGGUUUCCGUAGGUGAACCUGCGGAAGGAUCAUUA